AACGAACGCUGGCGGCAGGCUUAACACAUGCAAGUCGAGCGCCCCGCAAGGGGAGCGGCAGACGGGUGAGUAACGCGUGGGAAUCUACCUUUUGCUACGGAAUAACUCAGGGAAACUUGUGCUAAUACCGUAUGUGCCCUUCGGGGGAAAGAUUUAUCGGCAAAGGAUGAGCCCGCGUUGGAUUAGGUAGUUGGUGGGGUAAUGGCCUACCAAGCCGACGAUCCAUAGCUGGUCUGAGAGGAUGAUCAGCCACAUUGGGACUGAGACACGGCCCAAACUCCUACGGGAGGCAGCAGUGGGGAAUAUUGGACAAUGGGCGCAAGCCUGAUCCAGCCAUGCCGCGUGAGUGAUGAAGGCCCUAGGGUUGUAAAGCUCUUUCACCGGUGAAGAUAAUGACGGUAACCGGAGAAGAAGCCCCGGCUAACUUCGUGCCAGCCGCCGCCGUAAAAC
rnacentral:rRNA from 1 species